rfam:Kluyveromyces marxianus DMKT3-1042 mitochondrial DNA, complete genome.
ACUUGUAUAGUUUAAUUGGUUAAAACAUUCGUCUCAUAAGCGAAACAUAUAGGUUCAAGUCCUAUUAUAAGUA